rnacentral:lncRNA from 1 species
UCUGUAAACAAUUAGGAAAGGCACUGGAUUCAAAAAAACUCACCUGUAAAUCAGAAUUUUGCAGAUCAACAAUUGCCAAAAGUGUAUGAAAAAUAAUUCUAGAACUCAAAUCACAUCGAUCAACUCUCGUUGUAGAGAUAAUCUAUGUUUAGACCAUACAGUUCCAAAUCUAAGGCGUAUCAUAUCAUUUCCAAUCCCGUUGAGUGAUCCUUUCUAAGGCGUAUCACAUUCAGUGCUUGAAGAUUGCAGUCCUGUAGCCUUACAACAAAAGGCUAAUCAAACCUCCUCAUGUCGGGGCCAUGAGAAAUCGUCUUCCCCCUUCCCUCUCUACUGCGUUCUUUAUUCCAAUCCUUACACGAGAUUUCAUCAAGCGCACAUACUAAGACCAGUUUCCUUCCUUUUGGAGAGAUCACUUUCGAUACUUUCCUCCAUUUUAGGGAGAAGAAUUCCAUCAACCUUCUCGUUAGAGAAAGUCUUUCAAUGCUCAGCUGUACAAGCAUCACGAGCUACACGUUUUCUUCAUUCGCCUAUAUUAGCAGAAGAUCAGAUCAACUUGCAGUCGAUCAGCUUAGAAACCCUUUUGAAGAAGCUUCCUUAUCUACGAUUCAAACCGUUUAACCUAUCCUUUUAAUGCUUUAAUAUCGUUUAUGUAACAAGUGAGUUUCACUCUCUAGCAAUGAGCCUUCUACUUGUCAUCAUCAGUUAAGUUUAAUAUAAUCUUUGGUUUUACAAAAAGGAAACAAAUGAUUUCUUGAAAAUCUCUGAGACAACCACUCUGGGUUCGUGGAUGUGGAGAAACUCUUAAAAGUCUGCACCUUGGCUGCAUGUUUCAUUAAAAUCUAAAUAUAUGUACGUUAUAUGUCAAAAAAUUAAAAGCUUGAUACAAAAUUUUAAUAUUUUACCCCA